AGCAGCCGCGGUAAUUCCAGCUCCAAUAGCGUAUAUUAAAGUUGUUGCAGUUAAAAGCUCGUAGUUGAAUUUCGGGAUCAGUGGGUUGGUCAUGCCACUGGUAUGUACUGGCUCUACUGGUUCCUCCUUCUUGAAGAACUGUAAUGCCAUUAAUUUGGUGUUGCAGGGAAACAGGACUGUUAACUUUAGAAAAAUUGAGUGUUUAAAGCAGGCAAUCGCUUGAAUACAUUAGCAUGGAAUAAUGAAAUAGGACGUUCGAUUCCUAUUUUGUUGGUUUCUAGGAUUGACGUAAUGAUUAAUAGGGAUAGUUGGGGCAUUAGUA
rnacentral:misc_RNA from 1 species